UCCAGGUGGCUCAGCUGGUAAAGUGUCUGCCUGCAAUGCAGGAGACCCAGGUUUGAUUCCUGGGCCAGGAA
rnacentral:tRNA from 1 species